CCUGUGGCCUUACCUCCUUGUGGUCUCUUCUGUCCUGUCCCUGUCCCUCCCUUGCUUUUGCCCAAAGGAUCAGAAGCACCGCUCUGCACACACAGCUGAACCUGAGAAACCAGCACAACACGACCAACGGCGUCACCACUCGGUGCCACCUCCCCCCUUUCUCCUGCACAGUGAGUGGUGCCUGAGACCCCUUCAGCCCCCAGAGCUGAGCCGAAAGAAGUGAGGACACUGAGGUACAAUAGCUUUGACAGAAGAACGUGAAAUGGUGUCAUACAACAGAGAAAUUUUGGCUUCAUGAAAGAGGACACACGAGUGUUCUGUGCACUUCUGCAAGGUGUGGAAUCAUCGGUUUUCAGAGCGGGGUGUGGAGGGGGUCGUUUCU